GACGAACGCUGGCGGCGUGCUUAACACAUGCAAGUCGAGCGGAGCGGCGAACGGGUGAGUAACGCGUGAGUAACUGGCCCCCUCUCUGGGAUAACAGUUGGCACCGGCUGCUAAUACCGGAUAGUGGGGGAUGACUCGCGUCCUAUCAGCUUGUUGGUGGGGUAGUGGCCUACCAAGGCGACGACGGGUAGCCGGCCUGAGAGGGCGACCGGCCAAAUUGGGCUGAGGUACGGCACAAACUCCUACGGGAGGAAGCAGUGGGGAAUAUUGCACAAUGGGGGAAACCCUGAUGCAGCAACGCGCGUGGGGGAUGACGGCCUUCGGGUUGUAAACCGCUUUCAGCCAUGACGCGGUAGUGGCAGAAGAAGCACCGGCUAACUACGUGCCAGCAGCCGCGGUAAUUC
rnacentral:rRNA from 1 species